rnacentral:snRNA from 1 species
GUGCUCGCUUCGACAACACAUAUACUAAGAUUGGAAUGAUACAGAGAAGAUUCACAUGACCCCUGUGAAAGGAUGAGAUGCAAAUUCAUGGGGGAAAAAAUGAGUGG